UGCCAGCAGCCGCGGUAAUACGGAGAGUGCAAGCGUUGUUCGGAAUUAUUGGGCGUAAAGCGCGUGUAGGCGGUUCGUUAAGUCUGAUGUGAAAGCCCGGGGCUCAACCCCGGAAGUGCAUUGGAAACUGGCGAACUUGAGUACGGGAGAGGAAAGUGGAAUUCCCGGUGUAGCGGUGAAAUGCGUAGAUAUCGGGAGGAACAUCAGUGGCGAAGGCGACUUUCUGGACUGAUACUGACACUGAGGUACGAAAGCGUGGGUAGCAAACAGGAUUAGAUA
rnacentral:rRNA from 1 species